rnacentral:tRNA from 1 species
GCCGGGAUGGUGAAACUGGUAGACGCAGCGGACUCAAAAUCCGCCGGGCUUCGGCCCUUGAGAGUUCGAUUCUCUCUCCCGGUACCA